GAUGAACGCUGGCGGCGUGCUUAAUACAUGCAAGUCGAGCGAACAGAUGAGGAGCUUGCUCCUCUGACGUUAGCGGCGGACGGGUGAGUAACACGUGGAUAACCUCCCUAUAAGACUGGGAUAACUUCGGGAAACCGGAGCUAAUACCGGAUCAUAUAUUGAACCGCAUGGUUCAAUAGUGAAUGUCGGUUUUGCUGUCACUUAUAGAUGGAUCCGCGCCGCAUUAGCUAGUUGGAAAGGUAACGGCUUACCAAGGCAACGUUGCGUAGCCGACCUGAGAGGGGGAUUGGUCACGUAAGAACUGAAGCAGGGACCAGAGACCUACGUGAGGCCGCAGUAGGGAAUCGUCGGCGAUGGGCGAACGCCUGGCGGAACAACGCCGCGUGGGUGAUAGAGAUCUUCGGAUCGUGAAACACUGUUAUUAGGGAAAAACAAAUGUGUAAGUAACUAUGCACGUCUUGACGGUACCUAAUCAGAAAGCCACGGCUAACUACGUG
rnacentral:rRNA from 1 species